CAGCCAACCUUUUGGAAAGCACACUCCACUGCCCACUGGAUGUUUCUUUCUACUCCACUGUUUAUGGCCUUUUUGAGUGACACUUGAGACAUUCCUGCCAUGAUUGAUGCAUCAAAUUCCCAAGGAAAAUUCUCCCAAAAAGCAGCUAGCUAGCACCCUCCCAUCCACCCUCAAAAGUGUUUGGGUGGAGUCUUAAGUGCCAAAGGGGUGUUAAUUGGGGAUCCUGCCAAAGGCCUCUGCUUCCAUUUGCAUACUUUUUUUGCAUAUCAAAGAUGGGAUGACUUUUU
rnacentral:sRNA from 1 species